UGCUAAAAGUCACAGCUGCGAAUAAUAACUUGAAUGUUGAUGCAUCAUGUUUACAAUCAUGUUUCAAUAAACGUUUCAAUUUACAACUGCUAAUUAAUACUUGAAUUUUAUCAUUUUUUCUUCAUUUUUAUUUCAGAUUUGGUGCUGAUUAUGUCAGUUAUUUGAAUCACAAAUUUAGGCUUAUUUUACGAUUUAUACAUAACGUAAUUGAAAUAGGUGGCCGGAAGUGUUUAUAUGAAACUGUAUGAUGAAAAUUUUGUCCUCUGUGCCGCAUUGUUUACCGAAUAAAUAAAUAGUGAUUAUUCGGUGUCCGACCCAUAUAAAUAUUUCGUUUUUUAAUCAAGAAACUUAGUGAUGUCUCUUGAUGCUAACAACGUUGAUGCAGACUUAGAGAAGUUCUUAACUGUUGAAAAAGUGAAAACCCAAUUCCAUGAACAAGUACAUCACAUUACAGACAUAUGCUGGGAUAAAUGCAUUGACAAGCCAAGUUCCAAGUUAGAUAGUCGGUCACAGGCAUGUCUAGUAAAUUGUGUUGAACGGUUCUUAGAUGCCUCUUUAAUGCUUACUAAUCGUUUUGCUCACUUGCUACAAAAUGCACGGACUUAAUUUUCUCAUUUAAUUUUUUAUAUAAGUUUCUAGUUAUUAAACAUGUUAUGAAAGUUAUGUGUGAAUUCAAUCAAUUAAUUUAGGUGAUGAAGUUAGUAUAUUAAUUUUUUAUAAGUCUAAACUAAUUGUUACUUGAUACAUUGGGUAUUCAGAGUUGUAUAAAUCUAUAACGAAGAGUUAAGAUGCAGUUCCUUUUACUUUAACCAAGAGAUCAAAAAGUUAAGGUUGUUUUAAAUGAGAACGAUAAUUAAAAUUGUAAAAAACAUUUUUCAUUUUAAAAGCGUUUUGCCAGUGAAUAUUUUUUAUAUAUAUAAAUUAGUGUAAAUUUUGCAUUUAACUUUGUUAUGUUAAGUGUCCUACUAUAAACAAGAUGUAGAAUUAAGUUUUUCGAGAUUAAAGGAUUUUCGUUUUUGGA